rnacentral:lncRNA from 1 species
CAAAGAGGAACACCAAAUUGGGAAAGGACUACUAAUUAUUUCUUGAAACAUGCCCUUUUAUUAGGAUUGAGUAUUUCAAAACAUUGGGCAUAAAAAGGAGAAAUAAAAUGCAUGCUUGAUGGAGAGAAGUUUGGAGCCACUGGGAUAACAAAAGUGAAAUCUUCAGAAGAAUUGAAGAGAACAGCAAGUUGGACUAGAAAAUCAGCAAUAUGAUUUCCUGCAUUGAGCCCCGAAACCACCAGUGAGAGUUGGAGGAUACCUUGGCAAUCUUGGAAGAACCAUACAUGAUCUCCUGCCCAGCAAUUUACUCUUAAAAAGGUGGCUGGAGCUAAAGCCAUAGUCAAGGUUAAUGCUCCUUUUUCUUUAUCCCACAUCAGAUAGCGUUUAGGCUCUUUUUCAUCAAAUAUAAAAAUCCAGCCCAGUUCAUGGCUCAUUUGGCAGC